ACAGGGAUUGCCUCAGUAACGGCGAGUGAAGCGGCAACAGCUCAAAUUUGAAAUCUGGCGGCCUCUGGGCCGUCCGAGUUGUAAUUUGAAGAGGAUGCUUUUGGCGAGGCGCCUUCCGAGUGCCCUGGAACGGGACGCCACAGAGGGUGAGAGCCCCGUAUGGUUGGACGCCGAGCCUCUGUAAAGCUCCUUCGACGAGUCGAGUAGUUUGGGAAUGCUGCUCAAAAUGGGAGGUAAACCCCUUCUAAAGCUAAAUACUGGCCAGAGACCGAUAGCGCACAAGUAGAGUGAUCGAAAGAUGAAAAGCACUUUGAAAAGAGAGUUAAAUAGCACGUGAAAUUGUUGAAAGGGAAGCGCUUGCGACCAGACUUGUGCCCGUCGAAUCAGCCGCCGCUCGCCGGCGGCGCACUUCGGCGGGCUCAGGCCAGCAUCAGUUCGCUGCAGGGGGAGAAAGGCGGCGGGAAUGUGGCUCUUCGGAGUGUUAUAGCCCGCCGCGCAAUACCCCUCGGCGGACUGAGGACCGCGCAUCUGCAAGGAUGCUGGCGUAAUGGUCGUCAGCGACCCGUCUUGAAACACGGACCAAGGAGUCGUCCUAAUAUGCGAGUGUUCGGGUGUAAAACCCCUGCGCGUAAUGAAAGUGAACGGAGGUGAGAGCUUCGGCGCAUCAUCGACCGAUCCUGAUGUUCUCGGAUGGAUUUGAGUAAGAGCAUAUUGGGCCGGACCCGAAAGAAGGUGAACUAUGCCUGUAUAGGGUAAAGCCAGAGGAAACUCUGGUGGAGGCUCGCAGCGGUUCUGACGUGCAAAUCGAUCGUCAAAUAUGGGCAUGGGGGCGAAAGACUAAUCGA
rnacentral:rRNA from 1 species